rnacentral:misc_RNA from 1 species
GGAGAGACGUUGUACCCUGGUUUGAGUCUGGGGGAGAACCAACUUCGAUGGGGCUUGAUCCGCAAGGUCUACGGCAUUCUUGCCGUCCAGCUGAUGCUCACCACCAUAGUCUCCGCCUUCACCGUCCUCUACACCCCUGUCAACGCUCUCCUCGGUGACAGUCCUGGCCUCCUUUUGCUCCUCUGCAUCGUUCCCUUCAUCCGUACGUUACAAUUCAGAUCUCAUAUCUUUCCUUGCAUAUUUUUGUCUUUCGAAUUGAACUUUAUUAUGUGAUCUGACGCUGGGUUGUAUGGAUUGAUCAUGGGUUGAAUGAUUAGUAGAAUCUUUUUUAUUUAUUUUUGGGAAUGGAAUUGAUAAAUCAAAUUUCUUGUAUGAUUUUCUUGGGGAAGAUGGCAAAGGUCAUGAAAUGAUAGAUGGGGCGAGUCUUGGUUUUUUUAUUUAUUGAAAUUAUUGUGCUUUAUCUCAACAACAACAAACUCAAUAAUUGCAG